rnacentral:rRNA from 1 species
CACGUAGGGGGCAAGCGUUGUCCGGAUUUAUUGGGCGUAAAGAGCUCGUAGGCGGUGUGUCACGUCGGCCGUGAAAACCUGCAGCUUAACUGUGGGCGUGCGGUCGAUACGGGCAUCACUGGAGUUCGGCAGGGGAGACUGGAAUUCCUGGUGUAGCGGUGAAAUGCGCAGAUAUCAGGAGGAACACCGGUGGCGAAGGCGGGUCUCUGGGCCGAUACUGACGCUGAGGAGCGAAAGCGUGGGGAGCAAACAGG